UGCCAGCCGCCGCGGUAAUACAGAGAGUGCAAGCGUUAAUCGGAAUUAUUGGGCGUAAAGGGUGUGUAGGUUGUAAAAAAAGUCAAAUGUGAAAGUCCUGGGCUUAACCUAGGAACUGUGUUUGAUACUGUUUUACUAGAGUAUUGUAGGGGAAAGCGGAAUUUCCGGUGUAGCGGUGAAAUGCGUAGAUAUCGGAAUGAACACCAGUGGCGAAGGCGGCUUUCUGGACAAAUACUGACACUGAUACACGAAAGCGUGGGGAGCAAACAGGAUUAGAUA
rnacentral:rRNA from 1 species